rnacentral:snRNA from 1 species
ACUACAAAAACACAAACAAAGC